GGUAACUCUUAGGGUGAAUUAGAGAUUUAUUUAUUUUUUAUGUGAGGCUUUUCAUCUGCAUUUAGACCAGAUUACGUGGUCCCUUGUUCUCUGGGGACCCUGUGCCUUUUCUCUCUCCCUAACCUCGUUUACACUACCUUCCCAUCAGUCAGACACUAGGGGAACAGGAACUUAGAUGCUAGUUAGUACUCCAGACAAUUGAUCCC